AUUGAACGCUGGCGGCAUGCCUUACACAUGCAAGUCGAACGGCAGCACGGGAGCAAUCCUGGUGGCGAGUGGCGAACGGGUGAGUAAAGUAUCGGAACGUGCCCAGUCGUGGGGGAUAACGUAGCGAAAGUUACGCUAAUACCGCAUACGAUCUAUGGAUGAAAGCGGGGGAUCGCAAGACCUCGCGCGAUUGGAGCGGCCGAUAUCAGAUUAGGUAGUUGGUGGGGUAAAGGCUCACCAAGCCGACGAUCAGUAGCUGGUCUGAGAGGACGACCAGCCACACUGGGGCUGAGACACGGCCCAGACUCCUACGGGAGGCAGCAGUGGGGAAUUUUGGACAAUGGGCGCAAGCCUGAUCCAGCCAUGCCGCGUGCAGGAUGAAGGCCUUCGGGUUGUAAACUGCUUUUGUACGGAACGAAAAGGUUUGACUUAAUACGUUGGACUCAUGACGGUACCGUAAGAAUAAGCACCGGCUAACUACGUGCCAGCAGCCGCGGUAA
rnacentral:rRNA from 1 species